GAUGAACGCUGGCGGCGUGCCUAAUACAUGCAAGUCGAGCGAACGGACGAGAAGCUUGCUUCUCUGAUGUUAGCGGCGGACGGGUGAGUAACACGUGGAUAACCUACCUAUAAGACUGGGAUAACUUCGGGAAACCGUAGCUAAUACCGGAUAAUAUUUUGAACCGCAUGGGUCAAAAGUGAAAGACGGUCUUGCUGUCACUUAUAGAUGGAUCCGCGCUGCAUCAGCUAGUUGGUAAGGUAACGGCUUACCAAGGCAACGAUGCAUAGCCGACCUGAGAGGGUGAUCGGCCACCCUGGAACUGAGACACGGUCCAGACUCCUACGGGAGGCAGCAGUAGGGAAUCUUCCGCAAAGGGCGAAAGCCUGACGGAGCAACGCCGCGUGAGUGAUGAAGGUCUUCGGAUCGUAAAACUCUGUUAUUAGGGAAGAACAUAUGUGUAAGUAACUGUGCACAUCUUGACGGUACCUAAUCAGAAAGCCACGGCUAACUACGUG
rnacentral:rRNA from 1 species